rnacentral:rRNA from 1 species
GACGAACGCUGGCGGCGUGCUUAACACAUGCAAGUCGAACGGAAAGGCCCUGCUUUUGUGUGGUUCUCGAUUGGCGAACGGGUGAGUAACACGUGUGUAACCUGCCCUUGACUUUGGGAUAACUUCAGGAAACUGGGGCUAAUACCGCAUAGGAUCUCCUGCUGCAUGGGGUGGAUUGGAAAGUGUCGGCGGUUGGGGCUGUACUCGCUGCUUAUCAGCUUGUUUGUGGGGUAGUGGCUUACCAAGGCUAUGACGGCUAGCCGGCCUGAGAGGGUGAACGGCCACAAUGGGACUGCGAUACGGACCAGAAUGCUACGGGAGGCAGAAGUGGGGAGUAUUGCAGAGCGGGCGGAAGUCUGAUGCAGCAACGUCGCGUGCGGGAUGACGGCUUUCGGGUUGUAAACAGAUUUCGAAGGUGACGAAGCGUGAGUGACGGUAAUGGGUAAAGAAGCACCGGCUAACUACGUG